rnacentral:rRNA from 1 species
UUUCUUUUUUUGAAAACUUUGCUUUGGUAGGCCUUCUAUAUGGGGCCUGCCAGAGAUUAAACUCAACCAAAUUUUAUUUAAUGUCAACCGAUUAUUUAAUAGUCAAAACUUUCAACAACGGAUCUCUUGGUUCUCGCAUCGAUGAAGAACGCAGCGAAAUGCGAUAAGUAAUAUGAAUUGCAGAUAUUCGUGAAUCAUCGAAUCUUUGAACGCACAUUGCGCCCUUUGGUAUUCCAAAGGGCAUGCCUGUUUGAGCGUCAUUUCUCCCUCAAACCCUCGGGUUUGGUGUUGAGCGAUACGCUGGGUUUGCUUGAAAAAAAGGGGGAGGAUCAACUAAUGGAGACGUUUUUUCCACUCUUUGGUACAAACACAAAAACAUCUUCUAAAUAAAACCUCAAAUCAGGUAGGACUACUCGCUGAAGUCCUUCACAUCAGUAAACCAAAGGGAAAA